GGCUGUGACUUUUUCUCAAGCAAGUGGUUAUCUCUUUAUCUGAUUUCAUACCUGCCUGCAUAGGACCUCAAGCCAAGGCACCACACAGAGAUGGAAUGAGAAGAAAUUAUUCCCUGAUGUGCUUGAGAGAAGGAAGGAUAAUGAAGAGUGGCAUCCCAGUGGCUUCAGCCAGCUCCUUUAACACUCAUGGGUGCACCCAGGCAAUCACGUCGGAGUAAACCAGGAGCAGCUCUGCUGAAACUUGUGAGCUUGAGUGAUAUUAAACAUAGUGUGAAUGGAAGAAAAGUCUGGCUGAAAAGAAUGGAAGAAUGAAGGGUUGAUUAUUCUUCACAUUUAUAAACUGUUAUCUUUCCCUCUGCUAUGCAUAGGGCUUAUGAGUGUGGGCGCCCAGUGCUCUUAAUAUGACUCAGAAAUGUCAUCCUGAAUGAGUAGUGAAUUAGGAAUGUUUUUCCUUCUUUUUAUUCCAAGAACUGAAAUCAUUUCUAAGUUUCCAAUGUGAACUGUCUAGGAGACAAUUAUAUUUCAUUACCUAAAAGCUACUCAUGGCAGUAACUUUUGUUUAAAUGUAGAAAUACUGUUACCACAACAAUCAUUUUAUUUAACCAAAGAAUACAUGAUAAUAUAGUUCGAUGAGUACAAGGCAGAACUUUGACAAAUUUAAAGACACUGAUUUGUAUUCCUGACACAACUGAAGCAGGAUCUCUUAAGGGAGGGAAAUUUCAUGACCAUUCUAAAUGCUUUAUAUUGAUUUUCUUCCAAUCUUUGUCCCACUAGUUGCUGCUACAUUCCCCAUAUCAUUCUGUUAGUAAAGAAAUCAAACUUCCCUUAUGUAUAGACAAAGUUGUGCUGCAAGAGGUGGACAUAAACUGUAAAAUUUAGUCUCAACUGCUGGAAUAGUUACAGUUUAGGAUUAGAUUUUACAUUACACGCUGAGCUCUACUUCUAGGAGUUUUACUUUUGCCUAAACAGAGACAGGAGAUAUCCUCUUCAGUGAAACCAGAACUACCUUUGCCAACAAUCUGAACUGUUUGUAAACAGUUGCCUUGCACUGGCAGGCUCACCUGAGCUAGUGUGUCCACUUGAGGCUGUCUGGUAUGCACGUCUUGAGAAACUAUGGUGCCACUGCCUCAGUUUUGUCAUUCUAGGCAAAUUCUAUAUUGGGUGUUGGAUAUUAUGUGCAUUCAACCCCUUAAAGAGCAAAAAGACUUUACUCUUCUUCCUUCUUAGUGCUGCUCUUGUGACGUGUCCAUGAGCUGUUGGGUAGUCCACCUCCUGUACCAGAGAAUAAUUGUACAUUGAUUGUCAAUGAAGUAACUCCAGAAUAAAGAUCACAGUCUCUUUAAAUACUUGGCUUUAACAUAGUGUGGUAGCGCAUAGAAUACACACCUUACAGGUGGGAAUAUUAUGUGUUUAUAGGUCACUCUCAGGGUAGCUAUAACAGAUGUCUUUGACUUGUUGACUAGUUGAAUUCCAUAACAAAGCAUUUAUUAAAAUAUUAACACUUUGGAAAUGUCUUCAAACCUAUUUUGCCAUAUAAGGUGGAUGUUUAAAAGGGUAUGGCUUAUGUUGAUUGAUGAGAUACUGGAAUGCACAGGAAAUAACUGAGUUGUGUUUUGGUUACACUGAAUUUCCCUCAGGAAAUAAGACAGAAAUUCCCUGGCUGCUAUUUAGGGGAACUAGGAAAAAUAUGAGACAGAUGUGGCCAAACUCUGGCUAUCAAGUCAAGUGCAAAAGCCAAAUACUUGAAUUGUGUGGGUCUCAAACUGGCAACAGGGCUGUACUGGCAUGGGAAACAUUGGUUAAUUGAAAUCCCUGUCAACAGGAUGAAAUAAAACAGCAAGUACUGCUGAAACUGACAUUGCUCCCUGGGACCAAUCCUCACAUCCAGACUCUGCAGCCUCUUGGCCAAAGGGGCAGCAGUGGAGCCCAUACUCCAAGGCUCUCCAGUUCUAGGCUCGCUAAGUCUUUAGCUCUUGGCAAU
rnacentral:lncRNA from 7 species